UAAAAAUAAGUCACUGUCUCGCCAUUACACC
rnacentral:piRNA from 1 species